rnacentral:lncRNA from 1 species
AAGUUUUCUCCUCGACUUGCCAAGCACUUCUGAAUCAAAAGACACGUUUCAGGUGAAAUACACACACACAUUUCCAGAACCGCUCGUCCCAAUGCGGGGUCGCGAGGAGCCGGAGCCUACCCGGCAACACAGGGCGUAAGGCCAGAGGGGGAGGGGACACACCCAGGACGGGACGCCGGGACGCCAGUCCGCCGCAAGGCACCCCGAGCGGGACUCGAACCCCAGACCCACUGGAGAGCAGGACCCGGUCCAACCCACUGCGCCGCCACCACACCCCCUCAGACAGGGGCUGUUGGAUCUUCGUUCACACUCCCUCUGCCUCUCGUGUUCCCUGGGUCCAUUAAACAUUCCGCUGUUUCCCUACAGCGUCACCUACAGGAUGUCACGAGCACUGUGGAGAACGCUGUGGGGAACACUGGGGAAGAUCCAGCAGCUCCUAUUGUGACAGGGUGAGGAUCCGAUCAAAGACAGUUCCGUUUGGCAUUUUGAAUUUGUGACUAUGCCAUUUGGUUUCCUUGAGGCACCGCAGUGAUGACUAGAAGAGGUGAGUAGGACCAUCCUAUUGCCAUACGACGCAGUUCGACGCAGAGCCACACCCCGUGACAUGAUCGUCAUGACAACGGGGGGACGGUCGAAGAUCCCUUUAAGGAAAGCAGCCAAAUGUAGUUGGUCAUUUCAGAAACGACUAGUUGCGGGGUCACCAGUUCCAGGAAGAAUUGCCUUUACUUGUGAUAAUUAAUAGCUGAAUAUGUGCAGUUUGAGGACGGAGCUGCUUGCAGGUGUGAAAUAAGUUUUAAUUGGACUGAAGCUGGCAUUGGUCUAACCUUUACUCAUGAACUCCCACAGAUGAAUCUCUUUAAUGAGGAGAAACAGUGGAUGCAGGGGAUGCAGAGGG